AACGAACGCUGGCGGCAGGCCUAACACAUGCAAGUCGUGCGAAGCCUUCGGGCUUAGCGGCGGACGGGUGAGUAACGCGUGGGAACGUGCCCUUUGCUACGGAAUAGCCCCGGGAAACUGGGAGUAAUACCGUAUGUGCCCUUCGGGGGAAAGAUUUAUCGGCAAAGGAUCGGCCCGCGUUGGAUUAGGUAGUUGGUGGGGUAAUGGCCUACCAAGCCGACGAUCCAUAGCUGGUUUGAGAGGAUGAUCAGCCACACUGGGACUGAGACACGGCCCAGACUCCUACGGGAGGCAGCAGUGGGGUAUCUUAGACAAUGGGGGAAACCCUGAUCUAGCCAUGCCGCGUGAUCGAUGAAGGCCUUAGGGUUGUAAAGAUCUUUCAGUGGGGAAGAUAAUGACUGUACCCACAGAAGAAGCCCCGGCUAACUCCGUGCCAGCCGCCGCAGUAACAC
rnacentral:rRNA from 1 species